GGCAAGGUGGCCGAGCGGUCCAAGGCGCCACGUUAAGGUUUUCCGUGGUCUCGAAAGGGGCGUGAGUUCGAAUCUCACCCUUGUCA
rnacentral:tRNA from 1 species